rnacentral:rRNA from 1 species
CGGUGGAGCAUGUGGUUUAAUUUCGAUGAUACGCGAGGAACUUACCUGGGCUCAAAUGUAUGUUGACGUAUUCUGAAAGGGAUACUUCUUCGGACAAUAUACAAGGUGCUGCAUGGUUGUCGUCAGCUCGUGCCGUGAGGUGUCGGGUUAAGUCCCAUAACGAGCGCAACCCCUAUCAUUAGUUACCAUCAGGUAAGGCUGGGGACUCUAAUGAGACUGCCAUCGUAAGAUGUGAGGAAGGUGGGGAUGACGUCAAAUCAGCACGGCCCUUACGUCCGGGGCGACACACGUGUUACAAUGGGUGGUACAAAGGGCAGCUACCUGGCGACAGGAUGCUAAUCUCCAAAACCACUCUCAGUUCGGAUCGGAGUCUGCAACUCGACUCCGUGAAGCUGGAUUCGCUAGUAAUCGCGCAUCAGCCACGGCGCGGUGAAUACGUUCCCGGGCCUU